rnacentral:lncRNA from 1 species
CCUUCUUCUUCUCUCUUUCUUUCUUUCUCCUUCUUUUUCUUCCCCUCGCCAGUCCGCAUCACUCCCCACUGUCGGUGCCUCUCUCUUCUCCUUCCCCUCAUUUCUUUCUCUCUAAGCUCAACAGGUGACACUAACCUCAAGAGAAAACUCACUCCUUUGCUGCUUGCCCAAAGCCAAGCCCAAACUGACCAACUCUCAAAAAUAAACGCUCGUGCUUUUCCUUUUUUUUUUUGUAUGUAUUUUUUGGAUUGUGUAUUCUUUUCAAAUCUGUCCGAGGCCUCUUUUUAAGAGAUGGAUUGUCCAAAAAUUUCAACAAUCCAACGAUGAAAUCAUGCUCUUCUAAGCAUGAUUUCACAAGGCUCUGACAUAAAUGGGGGCUAAUUGCUAGAGGUAACUAUUCCCUAAAAUUUGACUACUUUCCAAGGACCUUAAGUGCCCCGUAAUGACAGAUUGGAGAGGGGGGGCUGAGUACAUGCUCAAUCUUCUCCCUGUUUUCUUUUCUUUCCUUUUUUUUUUUAUUUAUUAUUUAUUAUUUUUAUUUUUGAUUGAUUUUGAAUGGGUGUCUACAAUCAGGUCAAGUUUGAGUGGCCCUAUGGAGUUCUAAAUUUAAUUCUUUCAUGUAUAUUGCAUCCAAAGAUGUUUUUGGUCAUGAAUGUUGUUUAUCCAGAUAUGUUGAUUUUGAUUUUCAUAGCUUUUGUUAAGCUAGAUGCUUCAAUGCUUAUGUUUAUGUCAUUUGGUGUUUGUUUAUUAUCUUAUUUUACAUAUGCAGUUAUUUUUUAUCAAAUAAAUUAUUUCAUGGUGCUUAAGGUUAAGAGCAGCAACGGUUUGUGCUCUCAUUGAUGGUCCAAUUUCGGUGUGAAAUGAAUCUUUCUCAUUAUUAAGGCAAGGAUUGGUUGUCAAAUAAGAUUGGCAAACCAUGUACAACCUUUCCUUUCUUUAACAAUGAGAAAAAUAUUUUCUCUAACCGAAAUUUGGACCUUCUUAUGAUAAUACAAUUGUUGUUAACUCAAUAGAACCAAUGACACAUAUAAACAAAUAACUAUUUUCUGCAUUAAAAAUUUGUUUUUUUUUUUUGUUUUCUCUCUUCUCAUUUUAUAAAUACAUAUAGUAAUUAUAUUCCAUAUGUAUUAAUAGUCCACAAAAAAUAUGAGGCUCUUCUUUGCUGACCUAACAUUUACAAUAUAUGCUACAAAUCCCAUUCUCAUUUAAUGUUUAGCUAACACAAAUAGGACCUCUGGCAUCAAUUUUUUGUUCAAUAUUGUGUAAGACAUAUUAAUUUAAUUUGUUUUGUUCCUAAGAUAUUAUUAUGCAUUUGCAUUGUCAAAUCACGCUCAUGACUUUUAAGUCAAGUACCUCUAUGUUCAUGUUUGUGUGAUUUAGUUUGUGUUUAUUGUUUCAUUCUACAGAUGAGGGUUUCUCUACAUGGUCUUUAAGGUUAAGAGUGGCAAUAUUUUCUACUAUCAUUAGUGGUCCAAUUUUGAUGUGAAAAAAAAAUCCUUCUUAUUAUUAAGAGAAGGAUUGUUCGUUAAAUAAGAUUGAUAAGGUACAGUAUGACCUCUUUUUCUUUUAGAGGCGAGAAAGAUUAUUUCUCCGAAAUUUAAACCAUCCCAUGAUAGUGCAAACCUUGUUUACUCAAUACAUGUAGUGGCAUAUAUAGACAUAUAAUUAUCCUUUGUAUUAAAAUAGAUUUAAUUUAUUUUUUCCUUUUUAUUUUCUGUCUUCUCAUUUUACAAAUACAUACAUUAGUUAGACGACAGUUACAAUGUCUGCUACAAAUCCUGUUCUAAUCUUAUGUUCCGCUGACACAAAUAAUAAAACUGGUGUGAAUUAUCAAUUCAAUAUUAACCGACAUGCAUUAAUUACACUUGCCCUAUUUCUAAAAAAUAUUAUGAUGCAUUUGUCCUGUCAAAUGAAGGUCCAGUUUUUUAAGACAAGUGUUUCUUUAUUUGUCUUAGCAUAAUAUGGUCUUUGUUUGUUAUUUUGUAGUGAACACAUUGAUUUGCCAUUUGGCGUUGAGACAAGGUAUUGCCAGAUUUUGUAAAGGUUUUUCAGUGAUUUUUCUUUUCGAUUGUAGUGUAUUAUUUGGCUCCACUAUUCUGAUAUUCUAUUGUUUUUUAAGAUCAUUGUCUAUAAUAGAAUAAAGGCAGACACAAUCUAACUGCGUUAUUAUGAUAUUGAAUUUUUAGCUAUUUUAUGUCACUCAUCCAUGAUGUAAAUUGCCAGUUUCAAUUGUGAAUGAUAAUCUUAACUGAAACAAAAAAAAAAAAAAAACCACAAUGACUAAACUUUUUAUCACUUCAUUGUCCUAUAUGACAUUAGUGGCCAUAGUUGAUGACAACUGAUAAAUGAUAGAUUGCCAAUCUACUUAUCAAAUUUUUUGCACAUGUUUUCAAAACUAUAAAUGAUGUAUAUAAUUAAAGAACUAUAUUUGAUCACCCAUUUUUUAUUAUUAUUAAAAAAAUUUUGUUUGUUGUUUAUUAUAUAUUAUUAAUUUGUUUCAAUGCCUUUUUUUAUAACUAAUCCUUGAAAAACGAUGUGUUUGCGAAAGCAAAAAACACUCUCUUCAUCAUUAAUUUCUCUAAAUUUUUUAACUGGAGUUUUGUAAGAAUUCAUCGGUUUAAUUUAAUUGAUUUGCAUUGAUAGAUAACAUUACAUGUUAAUCAUUAUAUCUUAAUCAGCAUAUGAUGAUUUAAUUCAGUUCGUCUGGCUAAUUGGUGUUCAAUAUUUAUGUAACUACUUAUCUCUUUUCUAUACAUUUGCUGGUGCUGACAUUUACUUUUGUCACUUUUGAAACUGUUGUUCUAGCUGACACGCCCAGUUCAAAGUUUGGCUGAUAUGUCAAUUAUAGACUAUUGUGCAUAACACAAUGUUUCGUAAUUUCUUAACAAUUUCUGUCUCAUUUUACACUUACUGUUUUGUAUUUG